AUUUCUAUUACCCAGAGAUCUUGUCAAAAUGCAGAGUCUGAUUUAAGGGGGCCUGAGGUGGGGCUUGAGAUUCUGCAUUUCUCUCUAGCUUCCAAGUGAUGCUGGU
rnacentral:pre_miRNA from 1 species